UACGAAGGGUGCAAACGUUGCUCGGAAUCAUUGGGCGUAAAGCGCACGUAGGCGGCGCUGUAAGUCGGACGUGAAAUCCCUCGGCUCAACCGAGGACGUGCAUCCGAAACUACAGUGCUCGAGUAUGGAAGAGGGUCGCGGAAUUCUCGGUGUAGAGGUGAAAUUCGUAGAUAUCAGGAAGAACACCCGUGGCGAAAGCGGCUCUCUGGAACGGUACUGACGCUGAGACGCGAAAGCGUGGGGAGCGAACAGG
rnacentral:rRNA from 1 species